rnacentral:lncRNA from 1 species
GGAAUGAUACCAGAGUUUGCUAUGGCCAUGCGUACAACUGUCAACUCUGCCCUUGGUUUGGAUAAGACUAAGACUCUUUUAGCCAAAAGAAAAGCUUUAGCAAUGGAAGCUGAAGAUGAAGAAGAUAAUACCUCUUUAGUAUCUAGGCCAAGAGCUAGGAGAUGUGUUGUUUUGAAUGAUGAAAUUGAAGACUCUCAUGCUCGUGCCUCUGUUGCAAUUACUUGUUCUACAAUUACUUCCACUACCGAACCUGUUCUUAUCCAAUCCGAUGAAGAUACCGUGCCGAAAGACACAAGUGAACCAACUCAACCUCCUUCCGAUAGUGGUUUUUUGAGUGGCGAGCUCGGACCUGUUUUUGAUAAAGCUCCUCUCUCUUUAUUCAUUAUGAAGAUACCGUGCCGAAAGACACGAGUGAACCAACUCAACCUCCUUCCGAUAGUGGUUUUUGGAGUGGCCAGCUCGGACCUGUUUUUGAUGAAGCUCCUCUCUCUCCAUUCAUUCCUUCUUCUUUCAUUCCUUUGCCAAUUGUAAGUACUUCACCACCAAUAAUUGUUUCCUUGCCUUCUCCAGUUGUGAAUACUUCCAUUCCUGUUCACAAAUCAAUUUCUAUAGCUCUCCUUCCC